GUCUACAGCCAUACCACCCUGAAUCUGGUCUGAUCUCAGAAGCUAAGCAGGGUCGGGCCUGAUUAGUACUUGGAAGGGAGACAUAGCUGGACUUCUUUCUUGGUGGCCA
rnacentral:rRNA from 1 species